AAUUAAAACUGCUGUAUAUCAAACUUGCACACUAACCAAUAAUAAUUCCUAGAUGGUCCCCAGACCCUGUGUCCUAUAAGAAAGCAGCAUUUAGGUCACUCUUUAGAAGAGCAUACUUAUACUCCUCAGACCAUCAGAGCUUGCAAAUGGAAAUAAAUUACAUCUUUGACAUUGGCUACCUGCAUGGUUACAAAAAAGUCUUUAUAAAAGGCAUAUGUACAAACGUUGAGCAAUGCAUGAAAAAAGAAGCUGAUGAUGCAUCCACUAGCAACAUAAACCACAGUAACGACCAAACUUUCCUACUUCUGCUGUAUACUAUUGUUAAACUUGGCUCAAUCGGGGGCCUCAUGGGGAGGG
rnacentral:lncRNA from 1 species